GGGGAAUAUUGCGCAAUGGGGGAAACCCUGACGCAGCAACGCCGCGUGAAGGAUGAAGGUUUUCGGAUUGUAAACUUCUUUGAUGAGGGACGAAAAAAAUGACGGUACCUCAAAAACAAGCCACGGCUAACUACGUGCCAGCAGCCGCGGUAAUACGUAGGUGGCGAGCGUUGUCCGGAAUUACUGGGUGUAAAGGGCGUGUAGGCGGGGAUGCAAGUCAGAUGUGAAAUACCGAGGCUUAACCUCGGAGCUGCAUCUGAAACUGCGUUUCUUGAGUGUCGGAGAGGAAAGCGGAAUUCCCAGUGUAGCGGUGAAAUGCGUAGAUAUUGGGAGGAACACCAGUGGCGAAGGCGGCUUUCUGGACGAUAACUGACGCUGAGGCGCGAAAGCGUGGGGAGCAAAC
rnacentral:rRNA from 1 species